UACGGAGGAUGCAAGCGUUAUCCGGAAUGAUUGGGCGUAAAGCGUCCGCAGGUGGCUAUGUAAGUCUGCUGUUAAAGAGUGAGGCUCAACCUCAUAAGAGCAGUGGAAACUACAUGGCUAGAGUGCGUUCGGGGCAGAGGGAAUUCCUGGUGUAGCGGUGAAAUGCGUAGAGAUCAGGAAGAACACCGGUGGCGAAAGCGCUCUGCUAGGCCGCAACUGACACUGAGGGACGAAAGCUAGGGGAGCGAACGGG
rnacentral:rRNA from 1 species